GACGAACGCUGGCGGCGUGCUUAACACAUGCAAGUCGAACGGAAAGGCCCUGCUUUUGUGGGGUGCUCGAGUGGCGAACGGGUGAGUAACACGUGAGUAACCUGCCCUUUACCUUGGGAUAACUUCAGGAAACUGGGGCUAAUACCGGAUAGGAGCUCCUGCUGCAUGGUGGGGGUUGGAAAGUUUCGGCGGUUGGGGAUGGACUCGCGGCUUAUCAGCUUGUUGGUGGGGUAGUGGCUUACCAAGGCUUUGACGGGUAGCCGGCCUGGGAGGGUGACCGGCCACAUGGGGACUGAGAUACGGCGCAGACUCCUACGGGAGGCAGCGGUGGGGAAUAUUGCACAAUGGGCGGAAGCCUGAUGCAGCAACGCCGCGUGCGGGAUGACGGCCUUCGGGUUGUAAACCGCUUUCGCCUGUGACGAAGCGUGAGUGACGGUAAUGGGUAAAGAAGCACCGGCUAACUACGUG
rnacentral:rRNA from 1 species